rnacentral:rRNA from 1 species
AAUUUGGCGGUGUUUUAGUCUAGUUAGAGGAACCUGUUUUAUAAACGAUACAACACGCAUUAUCUUACUUGUUUUAGUAAUUCAGCUUGUAUACCGUCAUUAUAAGAUAAUUUAGGAGAAAAUAUUGUUAGAAUCAUAUUAUUGAGUAUAUUAGAUCAAGGUGCAGCUUAUAAGUAAGUAAAUAUGGGUUACAAUAAAAUUUAUUUAAUAUGAAUUAAGUAUUUAAAUGUAUUUAUGAAGGAGGAUUUAAUUGUAAGAAAAGAAAUAGUAAGAUUUUCUGAUAAAAGCUCUAAAUUAU